rnacentral:rRNA from 1 species
UACAGAGGGUGCGAGCGUUAAUCGGAAUUACUGGGCGUAAAGCGUGCGUAGACGGUUAUCUAAGUCGGAUGUGAAAGCCCCGGGCUCAACCUGGGAAUUGCAUUCGAGACUGAAUAGCUAGGGUACGGUAGAGGGAAGUGGAAUUUCCGGUGUAGCGGUGAGAUGCGUAGAUAUCGGAAGGAACAUCAGUGGCGAAAGCGACUUCCUGGACCAGUACCGACGUUCAGGCACGAAAGCGUGGGGAGCAAACAGG